GUGCUGUGCGCGCAGCUAGCGGAGGGCCAAGCUCCUUGGAUAAGAGAGCUGGCAGAUGAUCUAGCAGGCUGCGGAGGAGGUACCACACUUGCAGUUCUCCUGCCUCCACCAAAAGAUGCCCUGUCUGUGGUCCCUUCAAGCCCUCUGAUAGACUGCGCUCAGAUCUUGAGAAAUGGCCACCCUGGGGUAGAGCCAGUAUAAGAAGGAGGCAUCGUGAAUCAGGAGGUCCAGAUUUCUUUUAUUUUCAUCUCUGAGGCUAACAUGUAGAAAUAUUCAGCUGCUGUGAUCGCCUUUUAAUAAAAUUAGUGAAAUAUAAGACAAACUAAUCCUUACCUUUGUUUUUUCAAACUACCCUCCACAGGAGACCCCGAUUUAGUCCAUUCCCUGCGUGCACUAGAUCUGAGCUCUGAGAGUGGAUUUUACCAUCUGGGUACAGAGCCGAAACAGAAGGGGAAAAAAGUGCAGAGGACCAGACACGCGGUCUGUAGAGAUUGUACUGUCUGACUCAAAUUAAUGAGACAGAGUGAACAGAAUGAGAAAAUAGGCACAAUAUGCUUAUAAUACUCAUGCAAAUUUGACAAUUUUUUUUUGCACUAUAUCUAGUAUCCUAUUGUGAAAUGUUCAAAAGAAUAUUGACUGUAGGUCUAAUAUCGGUUUAUUUCACAUUUGAACUGUCAUGAGUAAGAAACUUUGUGAAUUGUUUGAGAAAGGGGGAGGUGAAGAGAACCAGGAGGUCUUUCCCCUGCCCCACAGGCAGCCACUAAGUAACUGUUUGUUCUCUUCCCAGACUGUGUCUGCUUACAGGGUAUUGGGAUUGGCUAAUUCUGUCUUGGAAAAAGGAACAGCAAGCAGUCAAGCCGCAAUCAAAUUAUAACUGCUGCUAGACCAGACAGUCCCAAGUGGACAAAGAAAUAGAUCACAUUUUGGGUUGUACUUAAUUUUCAGACAUUCAUUUUCACUUUGAAUAGAUAGUUUGAACCUUUCCUUGGGGUAUCUUCUUACAUCUAUGAGAGAACUAAAGCAAAGGUCAUGUGCUACUGAAAGCUGGGGAUUGUCACACGUAAGAAAUGCAUCUCAAAAGCAAGCCAGAAUGUUAGAGAGACAGCAUCCUCAAAUCUCAUUUUCUGAAAUAAAGGAAAAAAAACAAACUGUGAUGGCAAAGUAAAGAGAAUCAUAAUCCAAUGAUGCCUUGAGUUUGGAUGAAUUUAUUUUGACUCACUUUAUCCAUAUUUACUCUUAAAGCAGUUCCAUACAUUGCCUUCACUGAAUUUAACCCUAUGUGUACCUGUUAAUCUCCGCUCAAAGCAUUGCAGCAGGAAAUUUCCUGACUAAUUCUUAGGAGAGGUCAGGAUGAUUAAGCAGUGUGAAAGAGGAUUAGGAUGUUAAAAAGCCCUGUAAGGAUAUUUCUAAGAUAAUCAGGGAUGCUGAAAGACAAGGUUAUUUGUCUCUUUAACAAUUCCCCCCACUCUUACUAUGAUGCAGUGUAAUGUUCACAAUGGUGAGAGCCUACCCCCUCAAGAAAUUGUUUUAUUUUUGACAUCAUCUUCAGGGUUACAGACUUCCAGCAGGAAAAGGAAUGUGCUCCAUAGGCUUUUGUGAAUGGCAACUGAAAUUGCAUGUGUUGUGGAGCAUUUCGGGGGAGGAAGGGAAUGCAGAGUCCUUUUCCCCAUUUCAUUAGGAUGAAGAUAUGUGAAACCAUGUCCUUUAUUAUGAGUUGUGGGGAGAAGAGGCUGCCUGCCAUGUGGAAAUCGGGGCACUUGCUUUCAGGUUGCCUUCUCCUGCCUGCCUGGGAAACUGGUCCCGUUAGCGUGGAUGUAGAGGCUUUUUUUCUUCUACCUCAAGUGCCCUCUAGCGUGCAAUAUCUGCGCAGGUUGCUAUGUACAAGGAGGAGACAAGAAGAAAGAAAAAGAAAUACUCUACCAAUUGCUAUCCUAAUUCCUGAAUUGCUCUGCUCUUCUUUUCUCCUUCCUCAAAGGGGUCAUUUCCACCCAAGUGUUUGGCAAAACAACAACAAAAAAAAGUGAUGUUCUCAAUAGAACAGACAGGCCGAUAUACUUGGAGAGUAUGCCAGAAUAUUGGAUGUAAUUUCCUCAGAAAUACAAAAGCCUCAGAAGCUUCUAGCAAAAUGGAGGGUAGCAAAAUUACACAAGAUGAGAUUUGGUUGUAAAGGAAGGAGACUCAAAGGAGAAGCCUGAAUGAAAUAAAUCAAAUAUAUCUUCACAGUGUACAGAUUUGGAGCAGAGUAUGUGAAAACAAACUAAAACCUACUUCCAAUUUCUGUGACUAUUUUAUUUGGUUUAUCACCCAAUUUCAUUUGGGAAGACAUUGUUGUCCUCUUCAAUGAAAGUUUAUUUUUAUUUUUUUUUCCUUGCCAUUGCAAGGGGAAGUCAACAUAUUGCUCAUAAAGUGUUAAAGUCUUUAUGAACUGCUGAUGGAUACCAAGGAAAUGCUCUGAGGAUUAGGAGGUGAUUUUGUGGCAAAAUAUCCACUUCCUCUAAAUAUUACCUUCAGUAGCUUUAUAGCAAAUAUUGCUGAAGAAAGAGAAUAUAAAUCACUUAAACUCCCAGGACUUAAUACUGAAGUCUCAUUUAUGUUUUUCUUCUGUUUGAAUUACCAACACUCUACUGAGUAAGAAAAACGAAAACACUCUUUGAAAGGAAAACUGAAGAAAAAGGGAGAGAGAAAAAGAGACAGAGAAGGAGAGAGAGAUGAGAGAAAGAGAAAAUUAAUGGUGCAGAGAAUUCAGAGAUGAAUGAGACAAGAUGCCCUCAAAACCUCAGUCAAGUGGCAGACACAGACAAUGUGAACACAUGAUCUUCAUACAAUGACAACUCUCAAGUGCAGCAUAGUGGAUUGAUGGAAAUGGUGAAGGCUCAGGAGUCAGAGAACAUCCUUGGAAAUGUCAUUUAACCUCUCUGAAUAAUCUUGCAACCUUCUAAUCAUGGGAGUCACUUAACUUAUCUCAUGUGUAGUUGGGUGUGGCUGGAGUAUAUGAUACAUGUGAGAGUAUAAGAAGCAUGGUGGAUCAUGUACAAGAAAAUUAAAUUUGGUCAGAUCAUAGGGGCCUUAUCUUGCAGGCUGAGAAACCUGGACAUAAAUCUACUAAUCCUCUCUCAUGUUGGAUAAAUAUCCAGUAAGUAUGUAUAUAUCACCUCCAUGACAGCCGUUAGAAAUUAUAGCCCUAGAAGUAGAGUAAAGUAUAGAUCGUGUAAGAGGCAAUGGAAGGCAAGGAUACCACUUAAGAAGUAAUUGCAAUACUAACAAAACAACAAACAUAACACUGUUCUCAGUGCUUUAACUCAUUGACUACUCAUAAAUAGGUACCUCAUACUUACUAUAAGAAUACCCUAUGAUGAUGCAGGUAUUUUUAUUGUUCUUAAAACUUUACAGAUCAGAAGUAUAAUUUACUUGUCCAUGAUCACACAGGACAGCUUCAGAGAUUUAACCGUUACAUUAUACUGCAAUAUAACUAUUAUAGUAUACUGCAAUAGUUCAGGCAGGCAAGAGAAUUAGAGGGCCCAAACCAAGCUAAAGCAUUAUAAAAACAUGCUUUUUAUUUGACUGUACAUUUUGGAUUUGCUAUCUCUCCGCCAAUUAUAGUGUUAGUAGCUCCAGAACAGGCACCCUGAAUUUUAUGAAUUAUUAUUAUCUUUAGUAUGUUUUAACAGAUCCUUCUUCAGUGCUCAGCAAAUGGCUCGCACCUGUUUACCAAAUGAACCAUGGUGACUGGAGUCAGAGGCAUCAGUGGAUUCUGUAUGAAAUUCCAAGUGUACAAGUUUCUCUGUAUCAUGUGACCACAGGAAUUGUCACACAGGCACACAGUGGUACCCACUGCUCUUUCCUUUCUCCAUUAUAAUUGCUCAUCUCUUUAGCCAGAGAUUCUUGUUUACUUUCCCUUGCAGUUUAUGCAUAUGAACAACUUGUCUGACCUUCAAGAUUCAGCAUGCUGACAAGGCAGCUCUUGUGAGAAGUCUUUGCAAUCUCUGGCCCUCCACCAUCUCUCUACUAUGACUGCUGCACUGAAAGCACACUGCAGUAUAUUCUAGAUAUGUGAUGUCUGUCUUAUCACGCCCACUAACAGGUCUGUGAAAGCAGGGAACACGCAUAAUUUUAACUAAGUGCAAACUGCACACAAGGCAAUAUGCAUUAGGGAAAAUUGAAUGUCUUGAAGGAUUGUUAACACUUGGAAAAUGAUAAGUAUCUGACAGUAUCUAAAUUGUAUGGCAGGGAUACCUAUGAGCUUAAGUCAAACAAAGUUGGCCCACUAGAUUUUCAGACAUAAUGUAGUGAGUAACAAAUAUGAGUGAAUAAUUUCCUCGUAGUGUGUAAUUUCCUCAGCCUGACAUGCGCAGCCUUUUUAAUCUGCCCCCACAUUCCCUUCACUAACCAAUCUCUUAUACCCCCUGCAUAAAACAUUCUCUCCAUCCACUCCAAACUUGGUGCUUUGGCUCUCUCGAUUUUUUUGAAUUCUUUGAAUGUGGCAGUUAACACAGAUACCCCUGCAGUGCUGUAACCAUGGCAGACACUUCUAAUUGAUCAUGACUGAGCAUGGACACAUUUUUAAGAUUUAUCUCAGGGCAGUACUUAAGACAGCCACUAAAAAUCAUUCAGAAUUGGACGAUUAUAUUAAGUUCCUUUGCCAAGUCAGCUCAUGUGUUUCCCUUGGCUUGAAAGGGCUGAUUGUACCAAUCUCAUCAUUAGACAUCCUGCCAGUUCACGUCCUUCAUGCAACUGCCUUGAUUUCCUCACCUCCAGGGGAAUAAAUUACCUCUUCUGACCUAAUCUAGCACAGAUCUGCAACACCUAGGAGAUUCUUCUCAUUUGCUCCCUACCCUGACUCCCUAGCUGUUGUGGUCACAGCUACUUUUUCACCUGACAUUACUUGACUCCUUUUUGCUGAGGUUGAAAUGCUGUUUAUAUUCCUUAUGCAUCUGAUUCAUGCCUAGCACUUAGUAGGGCUUCAGAGAAGCUGAGGCAACAGUGAUAAGUAACUGAUGGGUGGGAACAAAAGUAAACCGAAAGAAAGACUGAUCAAGUUUAGUAUAAACCAAGAAAAGGGAACGUGAAGAGAGGAUGGAUUGGCAGGGCCAUUAUGUAAGUUAAUUUGCUCUUCGAUGUCAGCCCCAUUCUUGGCUUUCUCUGGCUUUCAAUCUGCAUGAACACCUUGUCCUGCAGACAGACAGACAGCCUCAGGGUGGAUUAAAUAAUCAGUCAAGUGAGAAGAACAUCUCCCAAUAUGUCUGCAAAACACUUCUAUUUCAAGAAUGAUUAUUAAAAGCCACAAGGAAGGCAGUGAUAACACAGUUGAAACAUUGACUUGCUGAUCAAAAGAGACACUAAUACGCACUCCUUAAGGGAAACAGUUAGAUUUUAACAUGCAUACAAGCAAAUCCCCUUGCUGCUUCUUUCCCCUUCUGCUUUGUCACACAAAAAUCCCAUCUCUGAUACUCUCCUUUUGGCUCACAGUACCUCUGCAAAUCGUUUUCUUUGCCUUCUGUUCUAAUUCGCUCUUCUUCCUUCUUUCCUUCC